GAUGAACGCUGGCGGCGUGCUUAACACAUGCAAGUCGAACGAAGCACUCUAUUUGAUUUUCUUCGGAAAUGAAGAUUUUGUGACUGAGUGGCGGACGGGUGAGUAACGCGUGGGUAACCUGCCUCAUACAGGGGGAUAACAGUUGGAAACGACUGCUAAUACCGCAUAAGCGCACAGCAUCGCAUGGUGCAGUGUGAAAAACUCCGGUGGUAUGAGAUGGACCCGCGUCUGAUUAGCUAGUUGGUGGGGUAACGGCCCACCAAGGCGACGAUCAGUAGCCGGACUGAGAGGUUGAACGGCCACAUUGGAACUGAGACACGGUCCAAAACUCCUACGGGAGCAGCAGUGAGGAAUAUUGGUCAAUGGGCGCAAGCCUGAACCAGCCAAGUAGCGUGAGGGAAGACUGCCCUACGGGUUGUAAACUGCUUUUAUAAGGG
rnacentral:rRNA from 1 species